rnacentral:rRNA from 1 species
GACGAACGCUGGCGGCGUGCUUAACACAUGCAAGUCGAACGGAAAGGCCCUGCUUUUGUGGGGUGCUCGAGUGGCGAACGGGUGAGUAACACGUGAGUAACCUGCCCUUGACUUUGGGAUAACUUCAGGAAACUGGGGCUAAUACCGGAUAGGAGCUCCUGCUGCAUGGUGGGGGUUGGAAAGUUUCGGCGGUUGGGGAUGGACUCGCGGCUUAUCAGCUUGUUGGUGGGGUAGUGGCUUACCAAGGCUUUGACGGGUAGCCGGCCUGAGAGGGUGACCGGCCACAUUGGGACGGAGAUACGGCACAGACUCCUACGGGAGGCAGCAGUGGGGAAUAGUGCACAAUGGGCGGAAGGAUGAUGCAGCAACGCCGCGUGGGGGAUGACGGCCUUCGGGUUGUAAACCGCUUUCGCCUGUGACGAAGCGUGAGUGACGGUAAUGGGUAAAGAAGCACCGGCUAACUACGUG